CCUACGGGAGGCAGCAGUGAGGAAUAUUGGUCAAUGGGCGCGAGCCUGAACCAGCCAAGUCGCGUGAGGGAAGACGGUCCUAUGGAUUGUAAACCUCUUUUGUCGGGGAGCAAAAGACGCCACGCGUGGCGUUCCGAGAGUACCCGAAGAAAAAGCAUCGGCUAACUCCGUGCCAGCAGCCGCGGUCAUACGGGGGAUGCGCGCGUUAUCCGGGUUUCUUGGGUUAAAAGGGUGCGCAGGCGGAAGAUCAAGUCAGCGGUAAAAUUGAGAGGCUCAACCUCUUCGAGCCGUUGAAACUGGUUGUCUUGAGUGAGCGAGAAGUAUGCGGAAUGCGUGGUGUAGCGGUGAAAUGCAUAGAUAUCACGCAGAACUCCGAUUGCGAAGGCAGCAUACCGGCGCUCAACUGACGCUCAUGCACGAAAGUGUGGGUAGCGAACAGGAUUAGAUACCCUGGUAGUC
rnacentral:rRNA from 1 species